rnacentral:rRNA from 1 species
AGGGCACCACCAGGAGUGGAGCCUGCGGCUUAAUUUGACUCAACACGGGGAAACUCAUCCGGCCCGGACACCGGAAGGAUUGACAGAUUGAUAGCUCUUUCUUGAUUCGGUGGAUGGUGGUGCAUGGCCGUUCUUAGUUGGUGGAGCGAUCUGUCUGGUUAAUUCCGAUAACGAACGAGACUCUAGCCUAUUAAAUAGACGUCGGGUUCUCUGCACUCGACGGUCUUCUUAGAGGGACAAGGUGCUUUUAGCACCGCGAAACAGAGCAAUAACAGGUCUGUGAUGCCCUUAGAUGUCCGGGGCCGCACGCGCGCUACACUGAAGGAAGCAGCGUGUAACAACCUUGUUCUAACGAACUGGGUAACCCGUGGAACUUCCUUCAUGAUUGGGAUAGGGGUUUGCAAUUGUGCCCCUUGAACGAGGAAUUCCCAGUAAACACUAGUCAUCAGCUAGUGCUGAUUACGUCCCUGCCCUUUGUACACACCGCCCGUCGCUACUACCGAUUGAAUGGUUUAGUGG